UUUAGUCGCAUCAUAUGUAUUGACGGCACCCAUGGAACAAACAGGAAAAAUUUUGAUUUAACUGUUAUUUUAAUUAAGGAUGAAAAUAAUUUAGGAUUUCCAGUGGCAUUAUUGCUUUCCAACAGGUUGGAUCAGAUAAUUCAAGAAGUUUUUUUUAGGGCUCUUUUAACAAAAUUCGGUAAACCAAUUGAUGCAGAAUAUAUUAUGAGCGACGAUGACCCGAAAUAUUAUAAUGCUUGGACCAAAGUGAUGAGUACUAAUACAACAUCUAGAAGACUCCUUUGUACAUGACACAUUAUUAAAAAUUGGAAUAUUCAGGGAAAGGCAAAAAUUAAAAACAUUGAAUUAAAGAAAAACAUGAAAAUGGAAAUGCGAAAAAUAUUAACAGAAGCUGAUGUAGCAAAAUUUAAGGACCACAAGGAUAAGUAUUUUAAACAUUUGGAAGAAGAAGAAGAAGUUGAUUUCCUAAAAUAUUUGAACAGCUAUUAUUUCAAGAGUGAGGAAAGAAUUAUGAUGUGGGCUCAUUGUCAAUAAUGAAUAAAUACCAAUAUGGCAAUUGAGAGCCUAAAUAAACUUUUGAAGUACAAUAAAAUGAAUGGACAACGUAAUCUCAGGGUAGAGAAGUUAUUAGAUUUGUUAGAAGAAAUUGUUGACGACAAGAUGUGGAAGAAGAUUAUAGAUACAGAAAGACCAAAUGCCAAUAGCUACAAUCACAGAAUAACUGUUGAAUCUCACAAAAAAAGCAGAGGAAAUGACAGAAAAGGUUGAACUAUCUGACGUUGGAUUUAGAGUUCAAUCUUGUUCUGUAAAAGAUAAGUAUUACCUUGUUUCAUACAGUGAACUAUGUAAUGUUGAUUGUAGAACUGGGUAUUGUAAUGCGUGUAAGAUAUGUUUACAUAGAUACAUGUGCCAAUGCCCUCAAAAUUCUGUAAAAAAUGUACUAUGUAAACAUAUACAUGCAGUUGCCUUGUAUGAGGAGAGAAGCGAGUCUGUUUUAGGUUCUCCAUCUUCUGAUACUAAUAAUUUAAAUAUUGACGAGCUGACAACAAGCAAAUUGCGUUACAAGGAUGAUUUAGAGCAUUUCAUUAAAGAGAGUAUACCCAA